rnacentral:rRNA from 1 species
GAUGAACGCUAGCGGCAGGCCUAAUACAUGCAAGUCGAACGGUGUCUUCGGACAUAGUGGCGCACGGGUGCGUAACACGUAUGCAACCUACCUUACAUUGGGGGAUAGCCUUUCGACAGGGAGAUUAAUACCGCAUAAGACAUUAGCUGGGCAUCCAGCAGCUGUUCAAGAUUUAUCGAUGUAAGCUGGGCAUGCGUCCAAUUAGCUAGUUGGUGAGGUAACGGCUCACCAAGGCAAUGAUUGGUAGGGGAACUGAGAGGUCAAUCCCCCACACUGGCACUGAGAUACGGGCCAGACUCCUACGGGAGGCAGCAGUAGGGAAUAUUGGGCAAUGGACGCAAGUCUGACCCAGCCAUGCCGCGUGCAGGAUGAAGGCGUUAUGCGUUGUAAACUGCUUUUAUACAGGAAGAAACGACUCUUGCGAGAGGCAUUGACGGUACUGUAUGAAUAAGCACCGGCUAACUCCGUGCCAGCAGCCGCGGUAAUAC